AAGUGCUUCGGUCAGGCAGUAUCUUUGAAAAUAAUUUGGCCAAUGAAAGCCCUGGCAUUGGAUGAAAGUGCUAGCUGCUGGGAAUGCUACCCCUCCUUUUGGUUCUCUUUCAAGUCCUUCAGGUUCAAACAAUACAGAAGUGUAUAAAGUAAGAAUUGAAAGUCUCUUCGCUGCUCUAAUCUCACUCCUCAGAGGUGAUCACUGGACCUGAGUGAGCAGAAGGCUUUUCAGAACAGCCUGAACUAUUUCUUGAGCAGUUUGGGAACUCAUUUCUAAAGCAGUCCUCGGAUUCACACAACAUAGUUUGUGACGGAGUAUGCCCAGAGCAGUGUGGAAGAUGAUCAAAGUAUGACGUUUCUUCUACCCCAGAGGUUGGCAUUUCUGCAGGCACAAAUGAGCUUGGUUUUCAAGCACCAGUCUUUGAGCACAAGGAAUUCCUUUAAUGAUCACGGGCUAGAUAGACUUUGGAAUCAGACUCUUUGAAUUCCAGCUCUGCCAUUUACCAACUUUGACACUUUGGGGUUUUGGAAAUCUGGAUUGUAGUGGGGCAUUGUGGACCUGGCUGUUGGUGGAGAUCCCUAGACUGCAUGGGGCCAUGGGCAUGAUCUGGAGACACAGUAGAGGCAAGGUCUUUGUUGCUCAGGAUGGAGUGUAGUGGUGCCAUAGCUCACUGUAACCUUGAAUUUCUGGGCUACUGGCAUACACCACCAUGCUUGGAUUCAGGCCACAACACCCCUGAGUUUACCGGUUUUGGUCUCUUCCUUGUGACCUUCGGCUCCAGGAUGCAGCACAGCUCCUCACUGCACUAUUUAUCAGAAUGUUGCUCUGCAUGCUUGAAAGUUUCCCCAAACAGAGGUACAUAAAAACAAACAGAGGCAAAACACAAAUCCCAUCAGCCCUGGAGGAAAAGGCCUUGAAGCUCUUCCAGUGCAGAGGCCACACAGAGGACAGGCUCCUACCUGUGCACAUCAGCCACGCCUGGGGCGCCUCCUGGAGUCCAGGCUGCUGGCAAUGGAAUUCAUCAUGUUGCUGAUGUCACU
rnacentral:lncRNA from 1 species